GAUGAACGCUGGCGGCGUGCCUAAUACAUGCAAGUCGAGCGAACAGACGAGGAGCUUGCUCCUCUGACGUUAGCGGCGGACGGGUGAGUAACACGUGGAUAACCUACCUAUAAGACUGGGAUAACUUCGGGAAACCGGAGCUAAUACCGGAUAAUAUAUUGAACCGCAUGGUUCAAUAGUGAAAGACGGUUUUGCUGUCACUUAUAGAUGGAUCCGCGCCGCAUGAGCUAGUUGGUAAGGUAACGGCUUACCAAGGCAACGAUGCGUAGCCGACGUGAGAGGGUGAUCGGCCACACUGGAACUGAGACACGGUCAAGACUCCUACGGGAGGCAGCAGUAGGGAAUCUUCCGCAAUGGGCGAAAGCUUGACGGAGCAACGCCGCGUGAGUGAUGAAGGUCUUCGGAUCGUAAAACUCUGUUAUUAGGGAAGAACAAAUGUGUAAGUAACUAUGCACGUCUUGACGGUACCUAAUCAGAAAGCCACGGCUAACUACGUG
rnacentral:rRNA from 1 species